rnacentral:rRNA from 1 species
GACGAACGCUGGCGGCGUGCUUAACACAUGCAAGUCGAACGGAAAGGCCCUGCUUUUGUGUGGUGCUCGAGUGGCGAACGGGUGAGUAACACGUGAGUAACCUGCCCUUGACUUUGGGAUAACUUCAGGAAAAUGGGGCUAAUACCGGAUAGGAGCUCCUGCUGCAUGGUGGGGGUUGGAAAGUUUCGGCGGUUGGGGAUGGACUCGCGGCUUAUCAGCUUGUUGGUGGGGUAGUGGCUUACCAAGGCUUUGACGGGUAGCCGGCCUGAGAGGGUGACUGGCCACAUGGGGACUGAGAUACGGCCCAGACUCCUACGGGAGGCAGCAGUGGGGAAUAUUGCACAAUGGGCGGAAGCCUGAUGCAGCAACGCCGCGUGCGGGAUGACGGCCUUCGGGUUGUGAACCGCUUUCGCCUGUGACGAAGCGUGAGUGACGGUAAUGGGUAAAGAAGCACCGGCUAACUACGUG